UAAUACCGAAUAAGACCACAUGCCGACAGGCACGGGGUAAAAGGUGGCUAGGGUCGUAAGGACUAUGCUGCCGCUUGAAGAAGGGCUCACGUCCCAUCAGCUUGUUGGUAGGGUAACGGCUUACCAAGGCAAUGACGGGUAGCUGGUCUGAGAGGACGACCAGCCACACUGGCACUGAGACACGGGCCAGACUCCUACGGGAGGCAGCAGUGAGGAAUAUUGGGCAAUGGGGGAAACCCUGACCCAGCGACGCCGCGUGAGGGAAGAAGGCCUUCGGGUUGUAAACCUCUUUUAGUUGGAAAGAAUCCCUCGCUGUAAAUAGCAGCGGGGUUGACGGUACCGACAGAAAAAGCCACGGCUAACUCUGUGCCAGCAGCCGCGGUAAGACAGAGGUGGCGAGCGUUGUUCGGAUUUACUGGGCGUAAAGCGUACGUAGGCGGCUGGAUAAGUCCUGUGUGAAAUCCCCCCGCUCAACGGGGGAACGGCAUGGGAGACUGUCCGGCUAGAGGGUUGGAGAGGAGAGUGGAAUUCCCGGUGUAGCGGUGAAAUGCGUAGAGAUCGGGAGGAACACCUGUGGCGAAGGCGGCUCUCUGGACAACCCCUGACGCUCAAGUACGAAAGCGUGGGGAGCAAACAGGAUUAGAUACCCUGGUAGUCCACGCCCUAAACGAUGGGCACUCAGUGUGGGAGGUAUCGACCCCUUCCGUGCUGCAGCU
rnacentral:rRNA from 1 species